UACGGGGGGAGCAAGCGUUGUUCGGAUUUACUGGGCGUAAAGGGCGCGUAGGCGGCCUGUGCAAGUCAGUUGUGAAAUCUCCGGGCUUAACUCGGAACGGUCAACUGAUACUGCUCGGCUAGAGUGCGGAAGGGGCAACUGGAAUUCUUGGUGUAGCGGUGAAAUGCGUAGAUAUUCGGAAGAACACCAGUGGCGAAGGCGACUUACUGGACGACUGUUGACACUGAGGUGCGAAAGCGUGGGGAGCAAACAGG
rnacentral:rRNA from 1 species